GAACUUCCUUGGUGGUCAGCUGAUUUCGUCUGGUUGAGUGGAGGAGGAAAAGGGAGAAAUUACAGCAGAUAAGAAAACAACCAUGGCGGCCGAGAUUCAUUCCAGGCCUCAGAGUUCGAGACCGGUUCUGUUGAACAAGAUCGAAGGCCAUCAGGAUACCGUCAACGCUGCAGUACUGAUUCCCAAAGAGGAUGGAGUCAUCACUGUCGGCGAGGACAGGACGAUUCGAGUUUGGCUGAAGAGGGACAGCGGACAGUACUGGCCCAGCAUCUACCACACAGUGUCCUCUCCAUGUUCCUGUGUGUCGUACCACCAUGAUAGUAGACGCAUCUUUAUUGGUCAGGACAACGGCGCCAUUGUGGAGUUCCUCAUCUCGGAAGACUUCAACAAGAUGAAUCACGUCAAGACCUAUCCAGCGCACCAGGGCCGUGUGUCCAGCCUGCUCUUCUCCCAGGCCAGUGAGUGGGUGGUGAGCUGCAGCCACGACAAGAGCGCCAGCUGGAUGUGCACGCAAACCGGAGCCAUGCUGGGACGGCACGCCUUCAGCGCCUGGGCCUCCUGCCUGCAAUUUGACCAUGACACCCAGCAUGCGUUUGUGGGAGAUUACUCUGGACAGAUCACACUACUCAAGCUGGAGAGACAAACCUACUCCACUGUCACCACUCUCAAAGGACACGAGGGUAGUGUGGGCUCUCUGUGGUGGGACCCGGUGCAGAGGCUGCUCUUCUCUGGGGCGUCGGAUCACAGCGUCAUCAUGUGGGACAUCGGAGGCAGGAAGGGACGCACACUACUGCUGCAGGGACACCAUGAGAAGGUUCAGGCAGUACGUUACCUCCAGCUCACGCGCCAGCUCAUCUCCUGCUCAGCUGAUGGAGCCAUUACAGUGUGGAACAUGGACAUGCGCAGGGAAGAGGCACCCCAGUGGCUGGACAGUGACUCGUGCCAGCGGUGUGAGCAGCCCUUCUUCUGGAACCUCAAGCAGAUGUGGGACACUAAGACCCUGGGGCUCCGCCAGCACCACUGCAGGAAGUGUGGGCAGGCGGUGUGUGGGAAGUGCAGCUCCAGGUGCUCCAGCUACCCCCUAAUGGGCUUUGAGUUCCAGGUGCGCAUGUGCGACUCCUGCUACAGCUCCAUCACAGAGGAGGAUCGGACUGCUCUGGCCACGUUUCAUGAGGGGAAGCACAACAUCGCUUUCAUGGACAUGGACCCAAGUCGAGGACUAAUGACCACCUGUGGCAGUGACCGCGUCGUCAAGAUCUGGGACAUGACGCAGGUGAUUGGCUGUAGCAUAGCAACGGGCUUCUCCCCCCGCUGAAUGACCACACUAAACUCCGCCCCUCCCUCGCUCUGCAGACAGACGUCCGUCAUGGGCCUGCUGUCGUCUAGGAAACGCCUCAUUCCCCCUCCAGUCUCCCCCAGAGUCUCCGUAGAGACACAUGGCUGUGACAUACUGCCUCUGUGUGUGUGUGUGUGUGUGUGUGUGUGUGUGUGUGUGUGUGUGUGUG